rnacentral:rRNA from 1 species
AACGAACGCUGGCGGCAUGCCUAACACAUGCAAGUCGAACGGGAUCCUGGCUUGCUAGGUGAGAGUGGCGGACGGGUGAGUAACACGUGGGAAUCUGCCUUUUGGUUCGGGAUAACCGCGGGAAACUGCGGCUAAUACCGAAUGCCCUCGAGAGAGGAAAGAUUUAUCGCCAGAAGAGGAGCCCGCGUCCGAUUAGGUAGUUGGUGGGGGCAAAGGCCUACCAAGCCGACGAUCGGUAGCUGGUCUGAGAGGAUGAUCAGCCACACUGGGACUGAGAUACGGCCCAGACUCCUACGGGAGGCAGCAGUGGGGAAUAUUGGACAAUGGGGGCAACCCUGAUCCAGCAAUGCCGCGUGAGUGAUGAAGGCCUUAGGGUUGUAAAGCUCUUUACCCGGGAUGAUAAUGACAGUACCGGGAGAAUAAGCCCCGGCUAACUCCGUGCCAGCAGCCGCGGUAAU